AGCAAAUAUAGCGUCACGCUAUUUGAACAUCACAACUUUUGCGUUUCUCUCUGCAAGAUAAACAUUUUUAAUGUUCCCGCUACAACCAAACUGCCAAAGCCACUCUAAGCAACUAGCUAUGUACAAAUACACUAACUCAUUUUUUACGGUCACAACCCUUGAGGAAAAUCUCCUUGGGCCUAAAGCUUUAGUUGUUAUUCUUAUUCACAAACUUACUCCA
rnacentral:misc_RNA from 1 species